rnacentral:rRNA from 1 species
CCUACGGGUGGCAGCAGUGAGGAAUAUUGGUCAAUGGCCGAAAGCCUGAACCAGCCAAGUCGCGUGAAGGAAGAAGGAUCUAUGGUUUGUAAACUUCUUUUAUAUGGGAAUAAAGUUAUGCACGUGUUCCUAUUUGUAUGUACCCUAUGAAUAAGCAUCGGCUAACUCCGUGCCAGCAGCCGCGGUAAUACGGAGGAUGCGAGCGUUAUCCGGAUUUAUUGGGUUUAAAGGGUGCGAAGGUUGUUAAUUAAGUCAGCGGUGAAAGUUUGUGGCUCAACCAUAAAAUUGCCGUUGAAACUGGAUGACUUGAUUAUGUUUGAGGUAGGCGGAAUGCGUGGUGUAGCGGUGAAAUGCAUAGAUAUCCCGCAGAACUCCGAUUGCGAAGGCAGCUUACUAAACUCUAACUGACA